rnacentral:misc_RNA from 1 species
GAUGAAGAACGUAGCGAAUUGCGAUAUGUAAUGUGAAUUGCAGAUUUUCAGUGAAUCAUCGAAUCUUUGAACGCACCUUGCGCUCCUUGGUAUUCCGAGGAGCAUGCCUGUUUGAGUGUCAUUAUAUUCUCAACUCCCUUUGAUUUUGUCAAAGGUGAGCUUGGACCUUGGAGGCUUGCUGGUUGCAAAGUCAGCUCCUCUGAAAAGCAUUGGCAAAGGCAGAUGCAUUCCUCGGCCUUUCGGUGUGAUAAUGAUCACCGUGGCUGGCUUGCUAAUAAUGUCUAUGCCCAUAACCUUUUCCCAUUCACUUGGAGAAAGAUUUUUGACCAUUUGACCUCAAAUCAGGUAGGAUUACCCGCUGAACUUAAGAAUAUCAAUAAGCGGAGGA